AAAAACUUAACAGUGGGUGAGAGUGCAAAUAAUUCUUAUCUCUACUACGUCUCACAUCCUAUAUACACAUACUGACAUACAAAAUCCACCAAAAUAAUUUCAAAAUCCUAUAUAUUUGGGGUGUAAUUGUUCCAAUAUAAAUUAUUGUAACCCUUAGUCUUUUUUUGUCUUUGUUUUUUUUUUGGGGAAAAGUUGUCUUUAAACCCUAUUAAUUCCAUCUACUACACACAUCCUAUAUACACAAACAAAACACACCGGAGCAAUAAUUUAC
rnacentral:lncRNA from 1 species